UUCAAACCGCGCGUUGUUGACAUUCAAUCAUGGCGCUCGUGUUUUGUAUCAGUAUCGCUAACAUUUCAAUAUUUCUGUGAAUGUAAGUGAGCUAUGCUAAUAUUCUGAUUUUAAAUGUGAAUAGCAACACCUGAAAUACGUAAUCCCAUUGAUAAUACCAGAGCACUGAGCAGUUAAAGUAAAUAAAAAACUCGGCUCAUAACAUGGACGGAGUUUUUGCACUGACGGAGCAAGAACAAUCUCCUCCCACAGCAAUUACAUCAUCAGUGAAGCUCCUCCUACUGUAAUUCCCCUAUAAAUGCUGUAAAUUCCUAUCAGCUGCAAGUGAAGACGAUCAUCAGAGCAUCAGGAAGAGCUGAAAUCUGCAGUUUAUUAAAGAGGACAGUGAGAACAUGAGUGAUCCAGAACCCUGUAGAAUGAAACACACUGAAGAUCCUGAAGAACAAAGAGAAAUCGGGACUCAUCAGACCAGACAACAUUUUUCCAGUC